rnacentral:lncRNA from 1 species
CUGCAACCUUGCUUUUAGCAGCAUGAAGAAGGGGAAGAGAGGAGGCUGUUGUAGGAUGAGCUCCCAGACUUCAUUGAAGCUUUUCCAUGCCCACAGGCUAUGAAUAUUUUUGAAACAUUUUUCUCAUGGCUUGUUUCUAUCUGCCUCCCCCAAAGUCUACAAUAGCUUUUAGUUCUGAUUCAUUGCAAUGUGAUGUAUUCAUUGCAAUGUGAAUAUAUAUAUAUGUACUCACUACAUUUUCCAGUGGAACAAGAGAAGAUGGCAGUAUAGGAAGAGGAAUAGCACGAGUGAAGGACUGGAAGAGGGACAGAUCCCUGCGUGUUUGCACAAUGGACAGUGUAAGGGUAUGGUGAAAGUGCAGGUGAGCAGCAUGGAGUGACUCAUUUCUCUAGAAGAAACCUGGGCCUUGCAUGAAAGGGGCCUUGUAUGAAACGUGGCAGGGUUGUGAAGAGGAGAGAAAUGUGUGGUAUGCAAACCAGGAGGCCAAAGAAGUGCCAAAGAAUGGCAAGGAGGGCCAUUGGUGUGGACCGCAUCUCACAUCAUUUGAAUCAGUAAAGAAAUCCUUAUUGGGUAGCAACAAGAGGAAGAAAGAAUGAGGCACACGUGAUAGCGCUGUCAUGGACACCAUGGGUGCAAAAGUGGAUGAGGAUACUGAGACUCAAAGUGGUGAAGAGACUUAUCCAAUGUCAUAAGCUGGGAGCUAGGGUAUGACCCAAGCAGAACCUGUACACUGGAGCCCAGGAUUACUGACAAAGGACACACCUUCUCUAGCCCCUCCUGGUGGACUUCCUCAGCUACGAAGUGCUAUUAUCAUCUCCUAGAGCUGUGGUGAGAAUUAACUAAAAUAACAUGGAUGAAGCUCUUGCGCGGCACCUGGCACAUGCGGGGCAAAGAACUGUAAGCAGAGACAAAAUGAAAGCCCUCUAGGCCCACAAUUGAUUCUAACGGCUGUGAGGGAAUGAGCUUCAACUACUGUUGAUGGGAGGGACUGUGUGCCAGGCACUGUGCUAGGGACUCUCAUGCAUGAUCUCAUUCAUCUUCUGCAUAACCCAAUGAGGUAUGAUCUACUAUCAAGUGUCUACAUUUGUAUUGGAUUGGUAUGUGUGCCCAACAAAGAAAGUGUCAUUUUUCCUUGGGAAUGAAAUCACAUCAUUUGUGAAGACUUAGUAGAGGCUAAAUGAGUACAAGCAGCAUUUACCUUAUUAAACAGAUAUUUUCAACAUUUAAAACAGUCUGACCAUCAAUGAUGAUGUUCAAAAACAUCUCAAGAUGUUUUAGAGCUAAAGCAAAUGAGAAAAUAUAGUAAAGGGCUGAUUCCUGUGGAUAUUCUGCAAAGGAAAGUAACAUGGUGGAGUGGAAGUGGGAUAAGGUUUGAAGCCAAAAGACCUGGUGGGCUUAAGGUCUCCAUUUAUUGGUUGUGUGACCUUGGAUAAGCCACUUCACCUCCUGGUGAGACUUGGGCAAAAUGGAGAUCAUAUUAAUCACCUCACAGUUUGUUACGCAUUGAGUAAAUGCACAUGUAAGCAUUAUUGACUGUAAAUGAUUAUGCAUAUUUUAAUUAUGGUAUAUCCAAGCCUGAUUUUUCAUCCAGUGCUUACAGUGCCCUGGGCAUAAUACUCAUUCAAUAAACAUUUGUUUGAUGAUAGAGUAAUAAAUGAAUAUGUGAUGCAGAAGUUUUAAAAAUAUUUUUGCUGCUGUCUGACUCAUUUAUAGACAUUUAUAAAAUUGAGGAUUUGUAAGUUGUCCCUGGACAAUCAGAUCUCUUGAUUCAAAGGUGAAAGAUAAUCAUUCAGGUUUUCAAGUUUUUCCUGAUAUGAGACAUUAACUGGCAGGGCUGAUUAUGAGAAAUUGUCAUUAUCCUGCUCAAAUAUAAGAUCAUAGAUUUGGGAAACCUUAGAAAUAAUUACCUUCUUUUCAAAUAUGAGGAAACUGAAGCCCAGAGGCUCUAAGAAAUCAGGGACUUUAUAUAAUUUUUUCAUUUCUCUAGCUCUAGGGUAAUUGUAGAUAGAUAUACAACAAGUAUGUUUUUAAAAGUAUAUUUUUCAAGAAUUAUGCUAAGCACUGGGGAAAUAAACAUUAACAAGACAAAACCCUCCCCUUUGAGGAACUGAUAAUCUAGACAGACAUGAAAACCAGGAAGUGUGCUAUCAGUUAUAUUAAUGUUGUACAGAGUUCUAGUGGCAAGAGGGAACUGCCAAGGGAAAUCUGAGAGGAGGUGUUUACCCUGCGUAAACACCUUGCUGUUUAGCUUGGCAUCCCUAGAAGCAGACCCUGAGGACAGUGGGAAAAUGGAUUAUUAAGGAAGUGCUCCUGAGAGAAACCAGAAAGGGGGUGUAGGGAGCAAGGGAGGAUAAGGAGAAGACUCCAGUAAGGAUGAGAUUACUCAAGUCCCAUGGAAGACAGGUUAGCCUGAUCCUGCAGGGGAGCCCUGGAGGAGUUACUAAUGUGGAGAAAGAAGAUUAUCAUGUGUGGAACGAAGGACAAUAUGAACAUUAAAUAAUGCCCUGACUCAUUCCAAAAAGAAUCUGAGAUGACCAAUAAAGCCAUUUUUAAUUGUUUAUUAGUGAACAAUAGAUUAUGAGUGCUAAAGGGAUUCAGGAAGAAGAAAGAUCAGUGCAGAGUAGAGAAGUCUGAUGGAUGCAUUGAAGAAGCUAUGCUUGAGCUGAAAUGACAAGAGAGCUGUUUUUCGCUUUCAGAAUUAUUAUGUGGCAAUGGUAAUUGACAACAGAGAAGCUGAAGGUAUGAGGACAAGGGUGUCUUAUCUUUCCCCAGAAGUCUUGCUUGGCCCAUGGGAGAAUACAGGCCUGCACCUUGGACUUGGAGUCAGUAGAUUCCUUCCUGUGAUUUUUUACAAGCUCAAACAUCCCCUGACUGAGUCAUUCACCAGAGAAAGAGGCUUUUCAAAUGAUUUGUGCAUUAGCUAUAGUCUGCCUUAUUCAACCCCAUUUUAGUGUCACAAAAGCUUCUUCUUCCUACAUUGUUAGAGCCUUUUUGACUUUUCUGAAACGACAUCUGCUCACCUCUUGGGUAACACCCUGCAGGGCUCAGUCGAGCUCAGUCACCCUUCACUUUUUUUUUUUUUUUUUUGAGCCAGUUUUGUAAGGUGCUGAGGGAGGUUUGUAUUAGUCCUUGUUGCCCCUAGAAGAAAUAACAGCUAUAAUUUUGGCCCCGAAGAAAAGGAACAGGUAUGACUAUUCUCUCUCUUUCUCUCAAACCACAAUCUACUCUAGGGAGGAAGUCACUUUAUGGGAGCAGAGUCACUCUCAAGUAAUAGCUGGCCAUACAGAUUGCUCUGGACCAAGGGUGAAUGUGAAGAAGAAAAGACCGGCCAGCAACACAAUGGAAUAUCUAGAGUCAUAUUGAGGGAAAUACUUAGAUUGCUGAUUUCUUAGUGGAUUUCACAAGCAGAGCUGCUUGUGAGCAGAAUGGUGAAGUAGGGGCAUGUGUUUCUGGGGUCUUAUUCCAUGGCUUCCUUCCACCUACAAGAGUCAUCCUCACGGAGUACUUGCAUUUCAGUAGAAGAAAAAAAUCUUAUAGAUGGAAGGGAAGGAUGGGGUUCCUGCUUUAGGAAGAUUGGCAUGGUCAUAAGUCUGAGCAAGGAAGGGCCCAGGGCAGCUCAGAGCUCUGAGCAGGAAGCUCUAAUUAGUUACUGAAUAUGGUGCAAGCACAAAGAGAGCGUAGUGUUUUCCCUUUCCAUCUGUGGAAGUCUUGGCCAUGCUUACUUGGGCGUUCCUUCCAGGAAACAUUUAUUUUUCCUCUUUAAUGCCCUCCUCAUAUCUAUGCUCUCAGUAGAGGAUGCCACUGCUUCUGGCACCUGGAUAAUAGAAUGAAGCUGAUUGGGAUGGAAACAGAAAAGUCAUCUCUCAGAACAAUGAGCAGAGACUGAAACUCCCUUGUACCCAGUCCCUGUGCACUGCUGUUCAUAGCCAAAUGGGCAAGGCCUUGCCAAAUGUCAUGUUGAGGUGAGGCCCUAAGUGAUAGAAAAAUAAAAAAUGACUAUGGCCACUUGCAUGUUCAGAGAAUUCAGUUUAGAAAAUGCUAUGCUGGGAGGAUCUCUCUUAAUAUCUUGUUUGCAUCAGAAUGUUCAAGUUGCAAUAUAUGUUUUUGUUUUGUGUAUUUAUUUAUUUUCCUCUACUCUAUUCUGUUAAGUCUUUUAGGGCAAAGGUAGGGUAGUCUAUACUCCCUGCGUUAUCCAUAAUGCCUAGCACUGUGUCUUGUACAUAAAAGGUCAUAAUAAAUACCUGUUGGCUAGAUAGAUGAAUGGAUAGAGUGCCUCAUUUAGAAGCAUUAUACUUCUAUGGAAAAAAAUUUUUAAAUGUAUUUUUUUCUAUGAGAUAACACAGUUCCUGAAUAGGUCAUGGGCAGGUGCUAUUCAAGUUUGCGAAGGAAAGGUUUUCCUAGAGUUAGGGUAAUUUUUUCCUCAAAUAAGAAAAACCUACAGUAAAUAAUUACUCUCCAUAUUAUCUUUAGGUUUCUUGCCAGUAUUAACAUCUUUUUUAUUGUAAGUGAUGAUAUUGUCUGUGAGAACAUUACAGUAGGUUAGUAUCCUGGGUUAAGCUAAGUGUUGUUGAAAAUAAUCCUGGACAUCCAAACAGGAAGAGAGGAAGUCAAACUAUUCCUGUUUGCAAAUAACAUGAUUCUAUAUCUAGAAAACCCUGUAAUGUCAGCCCCAAGGCUCUGUGAGAUCAGAGAUAAAUAACCUCAGCAAAGUCAACAUACAAACAUCAGUAGCAUUCCUUAUACAAACAACAUCCAAGCUGAUGGCCAAAUCAGGAUGCAAUCCCAUUCACAAUUGCCCCCCCAAAAAUAUAAAAUACUUAGGAAUACAGCUAACCAGGGAUGUGAAAGAUCUCUAUAAUAAGAAUUACAAAACACUGCUCAAAAAAUCAUAGAUGACACCAAAAAUUGGAAAAAUAAUCCAUGCUCAUGGAUUGGAUGAAUCAAUAUCAUUAAAAUGGCCAUACUGCCCAAAGCAAUUUACAGAUUUCACAGAUUCAGUGCUAUUCCUAUCAAAAUAUCAAUGACAUUUUUCGUGGAAUUAGAAAAAACUAUUUUAAAAUUGACAUGGAACCCAAAAGGGACCCCGAAUAGUCGAGGCAAUCCUAAACAAAAAGAACAAAGCUGGAGGUAUUAUAUUACCCAAUGUCAACAUAUACUACAGGGCUAUAGUAACCAAAAGAGCAUGGUACUGGUACAAAAACAGACACAUAGACCAAUAGAACGUAAUAAAGAGCCCAGAAAUAAUGUCACACCACUUACAACCAUCUGAUCUUCAAUAAAGCUGACAAAAACAAACAAUAGGGAAAAGAUUCCUCAUUCAAUAAAUGGUGCUGGGAUAACUGGCUAGUCAUAUGCAGAAGAUUGAAACUGGACACCCCACCUUACACUACAUACAAAAAUCAGUGUAAGAUGAAUUAAAGGCUUAAAUGUAAAACCUAAAACUAUAAAAACCCUGAAAGAUAACCUAGGAAAUACCAUUCUGGACAUAGAACUUGGCAAAGAUUUCAUGAUGAAGACAACAAAAGCAAUUGCAACAAAAACAAAAAUUGACAAAUGGGAUCUAAUUAAACUGAAGAGCUUCUGAACAAAAAAAGAAACUAUCAACAGAGUAAACAGACAACCUACAGAAUGGGAGAAGAUAUCUGCAAACUAUGCAUCCAACAAAGGUCUAAUAUCCAGAUGCUGUAAGGAACUUAAAUUUAUAAGCAUAAACAAACAACCCCAUUAAAAAGUGGGCAAAGGACAUGAAGAGAUACUUUUCAAAAGAAGACAUAUAUGUGGCCAACAAGCAUAUAAAAAAUGCUCAACAUCACUAAUCAUUAGAGAAAUGCAAAUUAAAACCACAGUGAAAUACCAUCCCACACCAGUCAGAAUGGCUAUUAUUAAAAGUUGAAAAAUAAUAGGUGCUAGCAAUGUUGUGGAGAAAAGGGAACACUUAUACACCACUGAUGGGAAUGUAAAUUAGUUCAGCCACUGUAGAAAGCAGUUGGGUGAUUCCUCAAAGAACUUAAAAAAACAGAGUUACCAUCCAACCUAGCAACCCCAUUAUUGGGUAUAAUCCAAAGGAAUAUAAAUUGUUCUAUCAUAAAGACACAUGCACAUGUAUAUUCAUUGCAGCACUAUUCGCAAUAAGAAAGAUAUGGCAUCACCCUAAAUGCCCAUCAGUGGUAGACUGGAUAAAGAAAAUGUGGUGCAUAUACACCAUGGAAUACUAUGCAGCCAUAAAAAACAAUGAGAUCAUGUCCUGUGAAGCAACAUGGAUGGAUCUGGAAGCCAUUAUCCUAAGCAAACUAACACAAGAACAGAAAACCAAAUAUGGCAUGUUCUUACAAGUGGAAGCUAAACAAUAGGAACACAUGGAUAUUAGAAGGGUAACAGAAGAUAUUGGGGCCUACUUGAGGGUGGAAAGUGGGAGGAAGGAGAGGAUCGGAAAAAUACCUAUUGGGUACUAUGUUUAUUACCUGGAUGAUAAAAUUAUCUGUCACCAAACCCCUGUGACAUGCAGUUUACCUAUAUAACAAACCUGCACAUGUACCCCUGAGCCUAAAAUAAAAGUUUAAAAAAAAAAAAGAAAAUACACCUGGACCCUAUUUUGAAAGACAUACUGUAGACUUGAGGGAGGAAGAGCAGAGGGAUGGAAAGGGCCCCGAAUUACCCACAAGCCAUGUGAAUGCUUAAGCAGUCAUGGACCACAAUUCUCACCACACACACACACACACACACACACACACACACACACACACACACACAGGUCUGAACCCUUACCCCUGUCUACUACUUAUUGGAGCUUGGUAGAAAAAAAGUUGUGAGUGACAGAAAAGUGAGAAAAAGAGAAGAAGAAGAAAAAUUGGAAAGUGUGGAAGAAAAAGUGGCAAAUGCAAGCAGCCCUUAAUGGAACUGUGCUGAAUUGAGAGACAGCAGAAGGUAACAGCUGGCUGGGACUUGGCCAUGAAAGGUGGAAUGUGAGGAGACAAAUGAAAUGGAAAUGCAGGAAAGAAUGGAGUGGCAAAGGAGGCUGGAGAUGGGGCAGAGGAUAGCAAGGGGAGAGAAGGAAGCACAGAAAGGGUGUGGGGGACAGGCCAGAGAGUAGAAGGCUAGAUGGAACUGACUGAUGCCACCAGUCAGAGAUGGAGACCAUUAACAAUGUGUAGGGAAACCCCUGCCUUCCCAAUAAUGAAAAUGCAGGUUUAAUCAGUACCAAGGAACACUGUGAAGUAAGGGCAUUGACUUGGGAAGUGAAAGCCGAAGAUAGAGCAAACCCCAUACGGCAUAUCCUAACUCGCCAUUUUAACAGCAGAAAGACUCGAAAAUACAAAGCAAAGGAUUAUCCAAAGGGCUUUUUAAAAUAAUGCUUAAAAUUUUAAUCUUGUAAAUAUAUUUCCCUUCCCAGUAUGAAAAUAAUUCCGAGUAUAAUCUUUAUUUACUUUCCCCUUUUUAUUUUAGAAGAGUAAACAUAGCUUUAAGAAUUAAAAAAAUCAGUUAAUAAUCUGACUUUUAAGUCAGCUGUAAAAAUGUAAGUUUCUAGCUCUGCCACUUUUUAGUAGUGUGACUUUGGGCAAAUUGCUCAAAAACUCCAAAUUCUUGUUUCUUUACCUACAAAAAAGGGACAAUAAUACAUACCUCCUAUGAUAGUAGAAAAUUACGUGAAAAUAUACUCCAAGUAUCUCAGAGGGCUUGAUUUCCAGAAAGCGCCCAAGCUCAAUCAAUAGUGACGUUUACUAUCCACGCAGCCAGUUCUACUACUGGGAGUUGGUUGGUGCUGAUAAAGCUUUUUGUCAGACUUCUCACAAUUUCCAUUGUGAGAAGAUGUAGCUUCCAAUUAACUCUGUCACUGAUUGUUGGGUAACUUUGGGCCAAAUGCUGUUCCUUAAUGAAUGUGGGUGUGAAACUUAUUAAGAUUAAUGACUGUCACAGCUGUUAGCCAGAUGUUUACAUAAUUCCCUCUGUUUUACAGCAAUCAUAUCAGAGGAAAGGGGUUGAAUGAUAGAAUUAGAAAAAUAAGUACAAUAUUGUGGGAAUGAAUAAAUGUUGUUUUGGAGGGUAGGAGAUUAAAAUCCUAAAUGUAUUUUGAUUAGGCUAAUAUUAAAAAUUAGCAUCUGUAAAUCAGUAAUCUAAUUGAAGGAAUUUUUUAACACAAGUGACUGGUGGAGGGGACACAGCAUGGGAGGGCAUGCUUACAGCAAGAGCUCCAUUGAUUAAAUAGUCCCCUGCAGAACACAGAGAGUUAAAUACGUCUUUAAUAGCCUCCAGCAUGAAAGGGCAAAUCAUUUGUUUUAAUUGAGGAAGGAUAAAAUAUUUUUGCUUUACACAUAUAUGUUCUAUUUUAGCAUCAUAGUUAUUUUUAUAGCUGUUAUAACUUCACAAAACCUAAUAGGAAAAUAAAUCUGAAUCCAGAAGAGUUCAAUACUUUCCAGAGGAGUCUAGUAAAUAAAAACUCUACACUGACUGACUGAUCUUAUUCAUGCACUGCUCCUAAACCCAAACUCUCAAGUGAAGGGAAAAGAGGUUAAUUCGUUGGAAUAAAUUCAUGGGAUUUUUUUUUAAAGACACAUCCUGAAUCAAAGUGAUUAAAACAACAAAUGGAUAAAGGGUAGAGCUGUGAGAGGACAAGGUUUGCAUUACUGAGCAUCUUGAUUAUGUGGGGAAGAUGGGAAACAGAUCUUGCCCAUUCUGGUCUCAAACUACUAAAUCCUGAGAAUGCCAAGAGGCGAGUCACUGAAGUCAGAAGUUGGAAACAUGGCUAAGCUGUCCAGAGUGUGGAACACAUGGUCUCUGAAGGUUUUUAUUAGUGUGUGGGUGAGAGUUCAGAAGCUCUACUAAUUACUUUUGUUUUCAGAAUUUAUAAAGUUAAGACAGAAAGCGGAAUAUUAACACUUCACUUCCUCGUGCAGUCAUUAAUUUACUCACUUAGCAUACAUUUAUUCAUAGAAGCUUAUUGGUACCAAGUAUACCCUCAAUGAGCAACCAACCCAAAAUUGCAAAAGGGAGAUCAAACAGGGAAGCUGUGGUAGGAAGUAUCAUGGCCUCUUCAAAGAUGUCUAUAUACUAAUCACAGAAUUUAUGUAUAUGUGAUGCUGUAUGUCAAGGGAAGAUUAAGGUGUGCAGAUGGAAUUAAGGUUGCUAAUCAGCUGACCUUAAAAUAGGAGUACUAUCUUGGAAUAUCUGGGUGGGCUCAAUGUAAUCACAAAUGUUCUUAACAGAUAGAAGAAGAAGGCAGAGGAGUCAGUGUUGGAGUGAUGCCAUGUGAGAAAGACUCAACUGGCCAUUGCUGGCUUUGAAAAUGGAAGGAGGCAUAAGCCAAGGAAUGAAUGCAGGUGCCUCUAGAACCUGGAAAAAGCAAGGAAACAAAUUCUCCUCUAGAACCUCCAGAAGGAAUGCAUUCCUGCCAACACCUUGAUUUUUAGCUCGGUGAGACCCAUGCUGGACUUCUGACCUGCAGGAUUGCAAGAUAAGAUAUUUGACUUAUUUUAAGAUGCUAAGUUUGCAGUAAUUUGAUAUGGUAGCCAUCGGAAACUAAUACCGAUGCCAAAGCAGUAAAGCAGGAAAGCACUCCAAAAUCACAGGAGUGAGAGGAGCAGAAAUGUCCUAGGAGAAGACAAUGUUUCCUUUUGAAAAGGAAAGUUUACUGGCAACUUCCAUUUGAAUUUCUUAAUUUCUUUCCUCAGUGGCAGUCACUACUUCCAAGGUGGCAGGUUCCAGAGCUGAUUCAUUAUAUAAUCUUUUCUCAGGAGUAUUCUAGCCACCUUUAAAGAAGCUAGGGCCAUUUUCCUGACACUGCAUCAAGGGGUAAGGUUAGUGGUAAAGAAACCAUGCGGUAGGAAAGGCCAACUUUCUCCCUACAUAAUCCAAUCGCAUUAUCUCCAGACUUGCUCACCCUCUGCUCUUUGCAUACUGCAGCUCCAGAGCUUUCAUACCUACAGACUUCCUGGAGUUAAGACUAAAACAAGAGUUGUGCUACAGACUACCGUUCCUAUUAUCAUUUUUUGUGUCCUGCUGAGUCCUCCCCUCUUGGCAACUUCAGGACCACCCACUGGGAAGAUAAUAUACAACCCAUCAGGAAACUCCCAGUGCCCAUCGUGGAGGCCAAGUGCUGCCAACUCUGAUUGCUUCUGGAAUGCCAUUUCUUCCCUGCCCUUUCAAUAUUCUUGUUAUGCGACUCCUAUGAUCACUGCCAAUCUGUAGAAAAUUACAGGAUGAAUUUUUGUGAAGGACUGAAUUUGCAUACUGGUCUUUUGUUGUUUAUUGUUGGGGGGAUUUUGCUUUUUGCACACAAUUUCUGCACAUUUUAUUGGAAGUUAUUGGGUUAGAUUCAUCCCAUUCAUUCACUAGCCUGGCAUUGCUAUGCAUGUGCUGUAGGGGCUUAGCAUUAAACGAUUUUCUUUGUUCAGAUUUGGAUUGCUGUCUCUGCUUGCAAAUUAUUUUUCACAAUGACUCCUUCUUUUCCUUCUCUCUCUCUCUCUUUCUCUCUCUCUCUCUCUCACACACACACACAGACACACACACACACACACACACACACACACACACACACACACAGAUGAGGUUAGAUAUUUUUCCAUUGCCAAGUUCAGGACCCAUGAAUAC